rnacentral:rRNA from 1 species
UCGGGAAUCUUCCGCAAUGGGCGAAAGUCUGACGCAGCGACGCCGCGUGUGGGAGGAAGCUCUUCGGGGUGUAAACCACUGUCAGGAGGGAAGAAAGGCGCUGACUCGAACAGGGUCUAGCGAUUGACGGUACCUCCAAAGGAAGCGCCGGCUAACUCCGUGCCAGCAGCCGCGGUAAGACGGAGGGCGCAAGCGUUGUUCGGAAUUACUGGGCGUAAAGCGCGGGCAGGCGGUCUGUUAAGUCGUUUGUGAAAACCCGGGGCUCAACCCCGUGGAAUGCAUACGAUACUGGCAGGCUGGAGACUGGUAGAGGCUAGCGGAAUUCCUGGUGUAGCGGUGGAAUGCGUAGAUAUCAGGAAGAACACCUGUGGCGAAGGCGGCUAGCUGGGCCAGAUCUGACGCUCAUCCGCGAAAGCGUGGGGAGCAAA